GGGUACUACUUUUGAUCUCGCCAUUGAGGUGCUUGUGACUCCGCAUGAGGAUCUUCCUCAGGUUUUAUUGUACAAAGUAUACAGUUGCUUAGCGAUACACUUCUAAAACUAGCUCUUCUGAAUGCUGGUUUUACAGUUGUCUCUGGCCUGGCACGCUUGAUGUCUGAGAUCGGACAGGCUAAACUGGAAAGAGAUGAAGGAAACCCUUGUUGCUGAAGUUUGGUGCUGAUGAUGAUCCGGAGAAGAUGAUACUGAAAGCUGAAUCUGAUAGAUGCUACAAUGCUCUUAAUAAAUGGUGACAUGUGGAAGAGAGGAGCCUUGCAAUCGCAUUAUCAUGUUGUUCCUGUGGUGGAGUCGACACUGAAGGUAUCGGGGAAUCAAUGGUAUGUUGAGGAAGAGGGAUAUCCCUGUAUUCUCUGGACGUUUUCCUUUGGAUUUGGUAUGCAGAGUUGAGAGUUUAUUAGAUUCUGGUGGAUACAAUGACAUGGAGAAGCUGAAACUGGUAUCCUUGUGUUUUGAGGGAUCGGUUCUGCACUGGUUCAAUGAAGAGAUGGAUAAAGUACCAUUCUCUGAUUGCUUACAGUUUACAUACCGCUUGUUGGACAGAUUUGCAGGAUCUAGUGAUACUGAACCAGUUCCAGAGAUUGCGUCAAUGGCAACAGCCUUGGGUUGUUCUUCUCCAGAGGUGAUGUUGAGGAAGGAUACGGUUUCUUAGACUUCUGGUGAUUGUCCUGAGGUUGAACACAAGACUGUCUUGAGCGCUGAAAGAGCAGCCACUGGUUGUUUAGAGGAGACUGUUUCUUUUCAUGAGCAUGAGUUUAUGCUCACAACAUUUUCACAAUUGGGAACAACUUCUGUGCAACAACCACUACAAUCUGAACAGUUAGUUUUUGCGGACAGUGUUGAUGCAUUUCAGAUAGACGCCAAGGAAAAAUGCCGCGUGGUGCAUCUUCUGGAAUCAUCAACUGCAGACAAAAACCCUGAGAAAUCUGGUGUUCAUGUGUCGUCUUUGUUGUAUAAGAAGAAGAAAGGCAAAUAUCCUAAACAUGGAAAUGUAAAUUCAAAACCAGAAACUUUCAAAGGAUAAUAGGAUAUAUUGGAAUUGUGGCAGUGAACAAGUGCAAGUAGGGAAGCCUUUGAAAAAUCAUCAAGUGAGGAUGUAAGCUCUGGGAAUUCUAGUGCCUGUCAUGUUCCAAGCUGCUCUUCUCUGGGAAUAUUGCUCUUAAAUGCCUCACGUUCACAAAUGUCUCAGACGAGGAUUGUUGUAUCAAGGAUUGGAGAAGUAUGCAUUACUAUUUUGAUGUAUGGCAUUUCUGGAAAACAGGAAUAUACAAAUACAGUUCAUAGCACCACAUGGCGAAAAGAUGAGAUUGUGGUGGCAGUUGAACUUAACCGGAGAAGCUCUUAAUAAGUUAUUCUCAUAUCUGCUUAUAUCAACGUCCCUUGUCCUGCUUUAUUUGCUCACCUUACAAGCUGCAGCUGAUGGUGAUGGUGAUGAGACAAUGAAAGAUAUUGCAGAACCGGUGAUACAUCUCAGGAAAGAGUUCAAGUCGUUUGGGUCUUUUCAUGGACGUUCGUUCAUGAUUUCACAAGGGAAUGUGGCAGUGCUGAUGAAGUGGUUUCAAGGGAGCAGGAGAAGAUUCAGGAAGGAGUACUCUUCUAUUUGGCACCGAUGGAGAUACAAGACUUUGGAGUGUGCAUCAGUUUUGUACGUAAGGGAUGCAACAGAUUCAUGGACAUUCCCCAUUCAAGGAGUACUCUUCUGUUUAGCUGCGAUGUCCUACUUGUCAGGUCAACUUUUGGGACAUAUAUUCUUAGCCUAGGUGGGAAUAGACAGAACGACAGAAAUCGCGUGAAAGAUAUAUUUCUUCCAGUUUUCUCAGCGGCCUCUUGUGCUGCUGCGCUCAGCACUAGCAACUCCUUGGAAAAACCAAUUUCAGUGUUGAGUUGGUCAACUGAAAAGGUCGAUGAGUUUACCUCCAGUGAUGAGAGUCCAGGGCUAGACCUGCCUGAUGGCCUGUUGCAUUUUAGAAAUAAUCUUCUCGAGCUCUUGGUAGAUAUUUGUCAGCUACUUCAUCCAACAACAUUUGUGAGUAUUUGCCACGGUGACUAGUUUGUAUCAUGAACCAGGCAGGAUUUACCCCAAGUUUAUUUAUUUCUUAUAUGUGAGGUUGAAAGCAGCGUUCCCUACUUCUUCCGUAUCUGAUCAGUUCUCAUGGGUUCUAUUAGUGAGCAAUGUUCUGCAUAACGUUGAGUCAUUUAGAUUUGGGGUGGAGUUGGUGUGUUUGCUUCAGUAUCAGCUGAUGGUUCAGUGAGAGUGUUUGAUCUUCGCGAUAAGGAGCAUUCGACGAUUAUCUACGAGAGCUCUGAGCCUGACACUCCUCUGGUUCGUCUUGGUUGGAACAAGCAGGAUCCUAGGUAUAUGGCUACCGUUAUCAUGGACAGCGCUAAAGUCGUGGUGCUUGAUAUUCGUUUCCCAGCUCUUCCUGUUGUUGAGCUUCAGCGGCAUCAAGCUAGCGUCAAUGCUAUAGCUUGGGCUCCUCAUAGCUCGUCUCAUAUCUGUACUGCGGGAGACGAUUCGCAGGCUUUGAUUUGGGAUAUUUCAUCCACGGGACAGCAGCAGGUUGAAGGUGGGCUUGACCCUAUUCUUGCUUACACUGCUGGUGCUGAGAUUGAGCAGCUUCAGUGGUCUUCUUCUCAGCCUGAUUGGGUCGCUAUUGCUUUCUCAAAUAAGCUGAUCGUUUGAUACACCUAUGCAAGUGUACUACUCAAAGAAGAAGCAGGGCAAGAGAGUGUUGGAAGCUGAAGAAGUGCCACGUCAAGGAGAUGAGGCGGGAACUUCUAACGGAUGAGUCAAUAAGAGAGAAGAAGGGAAAGACUCUGGAGCUAUUAGUCUUUGGCAGUUACAAGAAAGUAGCCUCUAUAUGUAAUUGUUGUUUGAUUCUUUCAUUCCUUAUCAUUGGUAUUGUGAUCAAACUUAACAUUGGAGACUGAGGUCUUGAGGCGAUUCUCGUGAGAGGAUUCGAAUGAGAAGUAAUCGAUAUCGUGUUGAUAUCGAUUGUUCUCGAGUGUUAUAGUGAGAUUGUAAUCUGUUGAAAGUAUUGAAUCCAAGUUGA